rnacentral:rRNA from 1 species
GAUGAACGCUGACAGAAUGCUUAACACGUGCAAGUCAACUUGAACUUCGGUUUGGGUGGCGGACGGGUGAGUAACGCGUAAAGAACUUGCCUCACAGAUAGGGACAACAUUUGGAAACGAAUGCUAAUACCUGAUAUUAUGAUUAUAUGGCAUCGUAUAAUUAUGAAAGCUAUAUGCGCUGUGAGAGAGCUUUGCGUCCCAUUAGCUAGUUGGAGGGGUAACGGCUCACCAAGGCGAUGAUGGGUAGCCGGCCUGAGAGGGUGAUCGGCCACAAGGGGACUGAGACACGGCCCUUACUCCUACGGGAGGCGGCAGUGGGGAAUAUUGGACAAUGGACCAAGAGUCUGAUCCAGCAAUUCUGUGUGCACGAUGAAGUUUUUCGGAAUGUAAAGUGCUUUCAGUUGGGAAGAAAAAAAUGACGGUACCAACAGAAGAAGUGACGGCUAAAUACGU